ACUCACUUCAGCAGAACAUCUACUAAAAUUAGAAUGAUACAAAGAAGAGAUAGCAUGGCUCCAGAGCAAGAAUGACACACAAAUUUGUGAAGUAUUCCAUAUUUUU